rnacentral:rRNA from 1 species
AGUGAACGCUGGCGGUAGGCCUAACACAUGCAAGUCGAACGGCAGCACAGUAAGAGCUUGCUCUUACGGGUGGCGAGUGGCGGACGGGUGAGGAAUACAUCGGAAUCUACUUUUUCGUGGGGGAUAACGUAGGGAAACUUACGCUAAUACCGCAUACGACCUACGGGUGAAAGCGGGGGAUCUUCGGACCUUGCGCGAUUGAAUGAGCCGAUGUCGGAUUAGCUAGUUGGCGGGGUAAAGGCCCACCAAGGCGACGAUCCGUAGCUGGUCUGAGAGGAUGAUCAGCCACACUGGAACUGAGACACGGUCCAGACUCCUACGGGAGGCAGCAGUGGGGAAUAUUGGACGAUGGGCGCAAGCCUGAUCCAGCCAUACCGCGUGGGUGAAGAAGGCCUUCGGGUUGUAAAGCCCUUUUGUUGGGAAAGAAAAGCAGCAGGUUAAUACCCCGCUGUUCUGACGGUACCCAAAGAAUAAGCACCGGCUAACUUCGUG